rnacentral:misc_RNA from 1 species
GAUGAAGAACGCAGCGAAAUGCGAUAAGUAAUGUGAAUUGCAGAAUUCAGUGAAUCAUCGAAUCUUUGAACGCACAUUGCGCCCGCCAGUAUUCUGGCGGGCAUGCCUGUUCGAGCGUCAUUACAACCCUCAGGCCCCCGGGCCUGGCGUUGGGGAUCGGCAGAAGCCCCCUGUGGGCACACGUCGUCCCUCAAAUACAGUGGCGGUCCCGCCGCAGCUUCCAUUGCGUAGUAGCUAACACCUCGCAACUGGAGAGCGGCGCGGCCAUGCCGUAAAACACCCAACUUCUGAAUGUUGACCUCGAAUCAGGUAGGAAUACCCGCUGAACUUAAGCAUAUCAAUAAGCGGAGGA